UGGGUUUUUUAGUUACCGAAAAAUGAAGAGUCAAAUGUGGAGAGCAAGUCAAUCGUGAGAGACGUUGAAGUAUUCUAAUUUUACUAGAAUGUCCAACAAUAUCUUUAAUGAGUGAUUUAUGAGAUAAAAUGAAUUAAAACAAAUUAAUCACAUAAAUCUCAAACAAUUUAAAUAAUCAAAUAAAAAUCAGAAAAACUACACAAUAAAU
rnacentral:lncRNA from 1 species